UGCGUCGUCAAUUUCAUAGCCUAUCCGCACAACCCAAAAAACAUGUGUUGGUGGACCUUCCGAGGAAAAGUUCAGGUAGAUUUGGAGCAAUAUUCUGGGUAGUUUGAACUGAGGAGACAACCUCCGAGUUUAUUUAAAAAAAUUCUGGUCAAAUAGUUGGAUCGUACCCUUGACCCAAAGUGGAGUGAUGACAUCGACUCUUGCAGGUACUCGCUGCAAGGAGCAAUAUUGAUCACUAAAGAUGUCUUUGCAUUUCCUGGACAUCAACGAUUGCUUUGUUUGUUUGUAGUAAUAUAACUUGAUGAUACAAAGCGUUUGCCCGCUCCGCAACUUUAUAUGCAAGCAAGCAAGCAAGCAAACAACGCCAUCUGUAGAGCACCAACGCUUUUAACUUACUUAAGAACAGGAAGCCUUGCCAGGAUCCUGACCAUACUCAGAGGUUUCCCCACUGGAAACUCCUUGGCGUCGCUUCUAAGUGGGGCGAGACCAAAAACAAGUCAAAAAACACCAACAAGAUCUGCGAACUAUACGAGUCUCGGAAUAUUAUCUGUUACCACUCUUCUUUAGACGCUCCGAUCCAGCCAAGUCGACGAGAAACAGUUUCCCCACAAGCACCCUGAGCAGGAACACAAACCCCGCGAAGCAGUAGUUCUGUGAGGAUUUGCACAAUGUGAAAAUGUGGUUUACUUCCCUACCGACGUAAUGCCUGGUGCAAAUUCGUAGAAGAAUUAAGGCUGGACUUUACAUUGCAGUGCGCACCAUCCACCAACUUAUUACACUUUACAGCAAUUUACCUUUCGCUCUCCACAAAGCAGGAACUAACUCGUCUCCGAUCGGCCAAUUCAGCUUUCUGUUCGCUAGUCUUAUACUUAGCUUUCUUCUCCACAGUCAAGAUAACAAUGGUGUGGCUUCGAGAAGAAUGUGCAUUCUGCACAUCAAGCACUGUAUCCAUUGUCAUUCCACGGUCGGACGUCAUGUUCAGCACGCGAUCAGAGCAUCGUAAGAUGUAGCAUCAGUAACGCAGCGGUUAAUGGAGUAUAUGCACUAGAGGAGGACUAGAAUUGUCUCACUAGCUUCGUGAAGGAGAGGCAUCGGUGCCGGUCCCCGAGCAUCAACAGUUUCAUGGUAUCUUCCACCGACUUCACCUGCACUUCUUCGACACCGGAGACAUAGACGCCGUUCAUUCCCUCACGGAUCUGCAUGUUGCAGCUCUCUGGGCGCAGCAGAUCUUGGAUCUGAUUGUUGUCAUUUUUAGUUUCAUAUUUGCUAUUUCAAUUUAAAAAUGACAUAAAUGUUUUCUGAUAAUUUUUUGACAAAGCAGAAAAAAAUUUCUAGAAGAAAAAUACUGGAGGAUUAGAAAUUGUGGGUUAUCAAGUCAAUAAUUUGAACAAAUUUAAUCUUUCUUUUAAAACCAUUAUACAUGUUUUCUUA